CAUUAAGAAGCUAGCUAGCGUUAACCUUUUAAGUUAAAGAUAGGGAGAAUUAAACCUCCCCUUGAUGA
rnacentral:tRNA from 1 species